GACGAACGCUGGCGGCGUGCCUAAUACAUGCAAGUCGAGCGAAGUUUUUCUGGUGCUUGCACCGGAAAAACUUAGCGGCGAACGGGUGAGUAACACGUAAAGAACCUGCCUCAUAGACUGGGACAACUAUUGGAAACGAUAGCUAAUACCGGAUAACAGCAUUAACUGCAUGGUUGAUGUUUAAAAGUUGGUUUUGCUAACACUAUGAGAUAGCUUUGCGGUGCAUUAGCUAGUUGGUGGGGUAAAGGCCUACCAAGGCGACGAUGCAUAGCCGACCUGAGAGGGUGAUCGGCCACACUGGGACUGAGACACGGCCCAGACUCCUACGGGAGGCAGCAGUAGGGAAUCUUCCGCAAUGGGCGAAAGCCUGACGGAGCAACGCCGCGUGAGUGAAGAAGGAUUUCGGUUCGUAAAGCUCUGUUGUUAGGGAAGAAUGAUUGUGUAGUAACUAUACACAGAA
rnacentral:rRNA from 1 species